AGUCAACAUGCCCAGGGGACGUGGAUAACCUCGGGAAACUGAGGAUAAACCGCGAUAGGCCAUGAUUUCUGGAAUGGUUCAUGGCCGAAAUCUAUAUGGCCCCUGGAUUGGACUGCGGCCGAUCAGGCUGUUGGUGAGGUAAUGGCCCACCAAACCUGUAACCGGUACGGGCUCUGAGAGGAGGAGCCCGGAGAUGGGCACUGAGACAAGGGCCCAGGCCCUAUGGGGCGCAGCAGGCGCGAAAUCUCUGCAAUAGGCGAAAGCUUGACAGGGUUACUCUGAGUGAUUCCCGCUAAGGGGAUCUUUUGGCACCUUUAAAAAUGGUGCAGAAUAAGGGGUGGGCAAGUCUGGUGUCAGCCGCCGCGGUAAUACCAGCACCCCGAGUGGUCGGGACGAUUAUUGGGCCUAAAGCAUCCGUAGCCGGCACUGCAAGUCUUCCGUUAAAUCCACCUGCUCAACAGUUGGGCUGCGGGGGAUACUACAGCGCUAGGAGGCGGGAGAGGCAAGCGGUACUCAAUGGGUAGGGGUAAAAUCCGCUGAUCCAUUGAAGACCACCAGUGGCGAAGGCGGCUUGCCAGAACGCGCUCGACGGUGAGGGAUGAAAGCUGGGGGAGCAAACCGGAUUAGAUACCCGGGUAGUCCCAGCUGUAAACGAUGCAGACUCGGUGAUGGGCUGGCCUUGUGCCAACCCAGUGCCGCAGGGAAGCCGUUAAGUCUGCCGCCUGGGGGGUACGGUCGCAAGACUGAAACUUAA
rnacentral:rRNA from 1 species